GGCACUGGGUGAGUAACACGUAGGCAAUCUGCUCGAGGUGGUGGAUACUUCCGAAAGGAGGGCUAAUACAGCAUAAGACCAAGACGUCGAAAGACGACGCGGCAAAGCCGGCCUCUUCAUGAAAGCUGGCGCCACGAGAUGAGCCUGCUGGCCAUCAGCUAGGUUGGUAGGGUAACGGCUACCAAAGGCAAAGACGGGUAGCUGGUCUGAGAGGAUGAUCAGCCACACUGGAACUGAGACACGGUCCAGACUCCUACGGGAGUGCAGCAGUGGGGAAUCUUGCGCAAUGGGCGACAAGCCUGACGCAGCGACGCCGUGUGAGCGAUGAAGUGCCUUACAGGGUUGUAACAGCUCUGUGGAAGUGGGGACCGAAUACGUGGCCAACGCUGAAUUACCUUUGUCAUUGAUAGACAGGUAACCCCUUUAGACAACAGGCAACUGGGCUUAAACUUCUUGUGCCANAGCAGCCUGGCUCGAGUUACAUUCGGGAAGGGGGUGCAAACCGCGUCACUCCCGGGUCGAUUUCACCUGGGGCUUCACCNGGGACUGCCGAUAACGGCAUCGGCGAGNACCAGGGGGCCACANACGGAACCACAGANU
rnacentral:rRNA from 1 species